rnacentral:rRNA from 1 species
GGAGGUUGGCUUAGAAGCAGCCAUCCUUGAAAGAGUGCGUAAUAGCUCACUGGUCGAGUGGUUCUGCGCCGAUAAUGUAGCGGGGCUUAAGUACACCGCCGAAACCGCGGCAACACAUGUAAAGGUGUGUUGGGUAGGGGAGCGUCGUGCAUGUGUUGAAGCCAUCUGGUGACAGGUGGUGGAGUGUGUGCGAGUGAGAAUGCAGGCAUGAGUAACGAUUGAUGUGUGAGAAACAUAUCCGCCGGAUGACUAAGGGUUCCUGGGUGAAGUUUGUCUUCCCAGGGUGAGUCGGGGCCUAAGGCGAGGCCGACAGGCGUAGUCGAUGGAUGACGGGUUGAUAUUCCCGUACCCGUGUGCGUGCGACAAGUGAUGAAUCUUAUGGUACUAACCGCCCGCCUGCGUGCACUGGUCUUUUUGGUUGGUGUGUGUGGGUGCGUGGGAUCUUCGUGGGUAGUAGUCAAGUGAUGGGGUGACGCAGAGUGGUAGCUAGGCUUCCUUAUUGGAUUGGAGUGCAAGCGUGUGGCCUGUGGGGUUGGGAAAUCCGCCCCACAUAUCAGGUGAGGCGUGAUGCGGACACCAUGUUGUGGUGGUAGUUAGUGUGCCUGUGCUGUCUAGAAAAGCCUCUAGCGAGUGCGUGCAUGGCCCGUACCGGAAACCGACACAGGUGGUCAGGUAGAGAAUACUAAGGCGUUCGGGUGAACUGUGGUUAAGGAACUCGGCAAAAUGCCCCCGUAACUUCGGGAGAAGGGGGACCAUUACUAGUUGCUGACAGCAUUAUAGCUGGUGGUGGUCGCAGAGGAGAGAGGGAAGCGACUGUUUAUUAAAAACACAGGUCCGUGCGAAAACGUGGAAGUUGAGGUAUACGGACUGACGCCUGCCCGGUGCUGGAAGGUUAAGAGGACCCGUGAGCACGCCUUAUGUGUGCGAGGCGGAGAAUUGAAGCCCCAGUAAACGGCGGUGGUAACUAUAACCAUCCUAAGGUAGCGAAAUUCCUUGUCGGGUAAGUUCCGACCUGCACGAAUGGCGUAACGACUUCCCUGCUGUCUCAACCACAGGCCCGGUGAAAUUGCAGUACGAGUAAAGAUGCUCGUUUCGCGCGGCAGGACGAAAAGACCCCGGGACCUUUACUAUAGCUUGGUAUUGGUGUUUGGUCAUGCUUGUGUAGGAUAGGUGGGAGACUGUGAAACCGCAACGCUAGUUGUGGUGGAGUCGGCCAGUGAAAUACCACUCUGGUGUGAUUGGGUACCUGAACCUUGGCCCGUGAUCCGGGUUGGGGACAGUGCCUGGUGGGUAGUUUAACUGGGGCGGUUGCCUCCUAAAUGGUAACGGAGGCGCCCAAAGGUUUCCUCAGUCUGGUUGGCAAUCAGAUGGUGAGUGUAAGUGUAUAAGGGAGCUUGACUGUGACACUGACGGGUGGAGCAGGUGCGAAAGCAGGGACUAGUGAUCCGGCAUCGACGUGUGGUUGUGGUGUCGCUCAACGGAUAAAAGGUACCCCGGGGAUAACAGGCUGAUCUUCCCCAAGAGUUCAUAUCGACGGGAUGGUUUGGCACCUCGAUGUCGGCUCGUCGCAUCCUGGGGCUGGAGUAGGUCCCAAGGGUUGGGCUGUUCGCCCAUUAAAGCGGCACGCGAGCUGGGUUUAGAACGUCGUGAGACAGUUCGGUCUCUAUCCGCCGCGCGCGUUGAAACUUGAAGAAGGCUGUCCCUAGUACGAGAGGACCGGGAUGGACGUACCUCUGGUAUGCCAGUUGUCACGCCAGUGGCAUGGCUGGUUAGCUACGUGCGGGAGGGAUAACCGCUGAAAGCAUCUAAGCGGGAAGCCUGUUUUGA